rnacentral:siRNA from 1 species
GAUACUGCCAAUGGAAAUGAUCU